UACGGAAGGCAGCAGGGGGAAGUAUUGCACAAUGGGCGCAAGCCUGAUGCAGCCAUGCCGCGUGUAUGAAGAAGGCCUUCGGGUUGUAAAGUACUUUCAGUCGUGAGGAAGGUGUUAAGGUUAAUAACCUUAGCAAUUGACGUUAGCGACAGAAGAAGCACCGGCUAACUCCGUGCCAGCAGCCGCGGUAAUACGGAGGGUGCGAGCGUUAAUCGGAAUUACUGGGCGUAAAGGGCACGCAGGCGGUUAAUUAAGUUGGAUGUGAAAUCCCCGGGCUUAACCUGGGAAUGGCAUUCAAGACUGGUUAGCUAGAGUCUUGUAGAGGGGGUAGAAUUCCAUGUGUAGCGGUGAAAUGCGUAGAGAUGUGGAGGAAUACCGGUGGCGAAGGCGGCCCCUGGACAAAGACUGACGCUCAUGUGCGAAAGCGUGGGGAGCAAACAGGGAUUAGAUGCC
rnacentral:rRNA from 1 species